GAAUGAUGAAGACACUGUUGAUGCUCCAGAGUCUCCACACUCUAUAGGAAAUGUACCUUUACCUUUGAACAAAGAGAAUAAGUCGUGAGGAUCUGCUGCAGAAGAACUUUCUCUUACUCACUGGCAAACUUUCAUCACAGAUAUUCAACGUUGCUAUUCUUCAUCGGUGUUUGAGCCAUGUCAUGAAAAAUGCCAAGGACCUUUGUAAAAAACACAUUCCAGAGAACUACAGGCUUGGGAUGCAUCUGUUUGGGCUGCUUGCAUGUUGUGCUAACUUAAAAGACAUGGAUGAGGUUGUCCAUAGUGCAGCAGUAGUGUUUUGCAGUCCUUGUAGUGGAAGGAAUAUAACAAAGCAUUACAACAACUUGAAACUCCUUCUGCAAAAAAGGGGGGACCCUAGAUGUAGAUGAAAGACUGUGAUUGCUGAGGACUACAAGACUGAUGUUGGGAAUGCCUCCUUGAAGACCCAUUUCCAGGAAAUUGAUGACAGUGCAACACUGGACUGUGAGGGUGAAAGAAACCUCUUUUAUGCCAAAAUUUAUUUCAGGUUUGGUAAAUCACCUUCUACCACAUGCAACUUUGUGGUCAGCACUGAUGCUCGGGAUCUUGGACAUCAUGGUACUGGUCCUGAUUAACUCCAUGGUGACAUUCAGCAAUCCAAGAACCAGGUAUCAUGAAGAGAAGAAUAAGUGUAAAAGAAACAGAAAUUUUAGAUAAAAUUGAAAUACAUAGUGAGUUAAACAAUGUACUAUUACAUUACAUAAUUUUACACAAGAUAAUAGAACCCAGGGAAUCAUGGAGAAAAGCCAGUGGGAUCUGAAAAGAGUGAGUGAGUGAGUGAAAAUAUUUGCCUAUGUAUAGAAACAACUGGUGAUGGAAUCUGUAAGCAUUAAAAGUAUGUCUGUAUACUCAACAGGCAUGGAGAAAUGGAAAGACAAACACAGUCUGAGCGACCCAGACUUGUAUAAUAACUUGUAUAAUAUCUUAUAUGUAUGGUUGUUACACCAUGCUGCUGUCCCCGUUUCCAUGCUUGUAUGUAUAAGCAGGUGUUUGUGUGCGGCUGUAUCCGGUAGGCCGGGCUACAGGCACCUUCAGGCCUGGUGAGUGUGCCCCUGCCAGGUGGCUGGCCACACCUGAAGAUGAUGCCACGUACCUGCAGCUGAUCAGCCUCAUCAGGGGAGCUAUUUAAGGGAGGAGCGUGGAAAACGAGAGGGCAGUGAGCACGAGGUGUGCGGACACACGGGAGCUGAAAACGCAGAGCAUGGACUUCAGGAGCAGAAGGACACAACACGGGAGUCAGGGGAGCCCACGGGGAUCUAUUGUGUAAUAUUCACAGCACUGUAAAUAAAUGCACUGUUUUCUGCACCAAAGAGUCCUGCAUCGUGGGUUCUGAUUUCCGCACAUCCCCACGGUCUGCCAGCGCAGCCGUGACAGUGUGUACGUGUCACCAUUAGUGACAGGCUUGCCACUGAGGAAAGAGAAAACUGAGAGAAAAGACAUGACUCCUACUUUUCCUGUCAAAACCUUGGAACAGGAACAGCUCAAACAACAUAUUGUCCAAAACCAGGAUGAAAGCCAGGAACAAGUAGCUGUUAGCCAGAAAAUUGCAACAUACAUGGCUAACAAAGUGUCAGUCACAUUUUGGAAAGGAGAUUUCAGUGCCUUCGAAAUGGAUGCAAUUGUGAUUGCUGCUAAUGAAAGUCUUUCUCACAUGGGCAGACUUGCAAAGGUGCUGUCUGCCACUGGUGGAUGCAGUAUCCAAGCCGAGAGUGAUGUCUUCAUUGCCAAAAAUGGCAAAUUAAAGACAGGACAAGUAGCGUCACUGCAAUCAAAAAAUACAUUGAACAGAAGAAUCCCACAAGUCCUCUAUUUUGAAAUGCACCUGGUUAACAAUGAUGAUCCAACUGUGAAGGAAAUGGAAAGGGCCUUCGAAGAGAUCCUUUUGGAGCCACUUUCUGAUGUCAAGAAGACAGACAGAGCACCUUGAGAGAAACGCAGCAGGACUGACAAAGGAUACUGCAUCCCAGGUCACAUAUUUAUGGAAACGGCAUGAAACAGAAGUUGUCUCUUUGGUCCUGUCUCAAAUUAGAGGUAACGACUUCAUCAUACGUCACAGUGAGCUCCUGUCCCUUAGACCACACAGCUGGCUUGUAGGAGAGGUCACUGAAAGUCUCUUGCACCACUGGGCCAUUCGGCUAAAUCUGCUAAUACUAUUUACAAUAUGAACCACUACAUGAGUGCUGUGAUCUUCUAUGGAGAGAUCGAAAUCAUCAGGAGACAAAGUUUGUCCACGGUGAACUCUGACAACUACAAAACCAUUGUGUCAUUUGUAAACAUUGGAAAUAUACACUGGAAGUUUCUGUACAUAAAUUCAGAUGAGAGCCGUCUGUAUUUGUUCGAUCCUUCAAGAAAGUCUUUGGCACAGGAAGAGUCUGACCGGGUAGCCCAAAGAUUCUGUCGUGCAGCUGGAAAACCAUAUACAGAAGCAGUACCAUAUUAUGCUCUUGAUAAAACAUUGAUAGAAGGACACCAGCAGGUUACGAGGGAUGUAAUUUCUUUCUGAGGAUUCUCAGGAAAUAAAGUCUCUGCUGAGCCUUCUUUGCCAGCUCCGCUGUGCGGGUGAUAAUAAAGAUUCAAUCAAUCAAUCAAUCAAUCAAUCAAUCAGGUGAACUCCCAGGAAGUGGAAGUCUGACGCUAUCCCCACCCGAUCCCCACUGAUGUGAAGUGGUUUAAUGUCUGUUUUCCUUUUCAUGAAAUCCACAGGUGUUCAGGAGCAGGUUGUUGUCCCAGCACCCCGGUGUCAGCCACUCCACUUAGUCCCUAUGACCAAAGCAGUAAUGGAAGCAUUCCCAAAGAAACCUGAAAUUACAUUUUGACAACUAAAAAAGAUGGCCAGGCACCAAGGACAUUGGCGUAGACAAUACUUGAGGCCUCGGAUUCAGUGUGAUAACUGUAACCGCUGGUUCCAUUCUGAAUGCCUGGACAUGGAAAAGGCACAGCUCAUCAAUGCACAGAACAGAGUGGAAGUGUGUGCUUUGUCUAACCUAAGUCCACAUGUAGUAAAAGCCACUGGCUUGUUUAUUUGCUUAUAGUGAUUAUUGGUGUUUUGAGGAACACGUGUGCAAAAUACAUUACUGAUAACAUUCUUCCUUUGAGCACAUUAUUUAAAUAUUCCCAUAUUACAUGUGUAUUCUGACUCUUUAAGAAUACUAAUUUUUUACUACUUUUUUUUUUAUUGGUUUCUGUGGGGACAAAAUUAAUAAUAAUAUAUCUGCACUACAGAGUCUGUAAUCUGAAACAUGUCUUAGAUUAAAAUUACUGCUUAAGGAAAAUAUUUUCAUAAUUAAGGUUGAAAAUUUCAGCUGUCUGUGGAAAUAUAAUUUCUGUUACUAAACAAAUACUUGAAUUUCUUUUUUUCUUUUUCUUUUCUUUUUGUAAUGUAAUGGACUUGCCUAUAAUUUUCUCUGAAACACUACAGUUCUUUGGGCUGUGAGGAGGAGGGUGAAGAGUGAGCAUGACCCAGAGUAAGAAUCCAAUGAAAUAUUCAUGUCACUUUAACAAUUGUCUUGUAAUAAAAUGUAUUAAUACAGACUAUCACAAAUGCAAUACAGGAAUUUUAUUUACUUGGGGAUAAGGUCAGGUGGCCAGGGCAUUUGUCAACUUGGGUUUCUUGUUUAGGUCCCCCUCACUGACAUUACCUCUGACAGAGGCCCCCAGUUUGUUUCGGAGCUUUGGUCUGCCAUGGCUGAUGGGUGAUUCGGGGUUAACGGACUCUGGGUUUCCCCCUAGGAGCACCCCUCAACCGAUGGAGCCCGAGCUUUCUUCAGCCUUUCCUGCCUGCCCCCACCAGCCUCGUUCACAAGAGAGAGCUUCUUCUUCCAGUUCUCUGCCUCCCAAGUCGUUUGCUUAAGCCCAGGGUCCUGGACUCCGUGGUGGACCACCAGGUGGCUCCACUCACACCCAGUGUUAGGGGAAGUGAGAGGGUGAGGUUUUGGCACUUUCAAUGUUCAGUUGUGUGAAGCCGUGAUUAAAGUUGGAGUGAAAUAUUGAGAUCUCUCAUGUCGUCUUUACAUACCUCCUCAGCAUACUAAUGUUGCAA